rnacentral:rRNA from 1 species
UACGUAGGGUGCAAGCGUUAAUCGGAAUUACUGGGCGUAAAGCGUGCGCAGGCGGUUUUGUAAGACUGUCGUGAAAUCCCCGGGCUCAACCUGGGAAUGGCGAUGGUGACUGCAAGGCUAGAGUUUGGCAGAGGGGGGUAGAAUUCCACGUGUAGCAGUGAAAUGCGUAGAUAUCAGGAGGAACACCGAUGGCGAAGGCAGGUCUCUGGGCUGACACUGACGCUCAUGCACGAAAGCGUGGGGAGCAAACAGG